rnacentral:sRNA from 1 species
GUCGCAGCCAUGAUGAAGAAAACACGUGGUACUAAACUCCAACUAGCCUCCAACAUCGUGCAAAGAAUUGACGGUUAUGGCUGAAGCCGG